AUGAGUUCUAAUAUGCAGUGCCAAGCAAUUCCACUUUCUCGGUCCGAGAAAUGCAUUGUUGGAACUGGAUUGGAACACCAAAUAGCUCUAGAUUCUAGGGUUUCCAUUAUAGCCGAACGCGAUGGAAAGAUCAUUUCUACUGAUAGUCAUAAGAUACUUUUAUCAAGUAGUGGGAAGACUAUAAGUAUUCCUUUAGUUAACCACCGUCGCUCUAACAAAAAUACUUGUAUGCACCAAAAACCUCGGGUUCCACGGGGUAAAUCCAUUAAAAAGGACAAAUUUUCGCAGAAGGAGCAGCUACAGUUGGGGCAAACUUGCUUUAGGAAAAAAUGUAUUAGUAGCUUAUAUGCCAUGGGAAGGUUACCAUUUUGA
rnacentral:rRNA from 1 species